ACACAUGCAAGUCGAGGGGCAGCAUAAUGGAUAGCAAUAUCUAUGGUGGCGACCGGCGCACGGGUGCGUAACGCGUAUGCAACCUACCUUUAACAGGGGGAUAACACUGAGAAAUUGGUACUAAUACCCCAUAAUAUCAUAGAAGGCAUCUUUUAUGGUUGAAAAUUCCGAUGGUUAGAGAUGGGCAUGCGUUGUAUUAGCUAGUUGGUGGGGUAACGGCUCACCAAGGCGACGAUACGUAGGGGGACUGAGAGGUUAACCCCCCACACUGGUACUGAGACACGGACCAGACUCCUACGGGAGGCAGCAGUGAGGAAUAUUGGUCAAUGGACGCAAGUCUGAACCAGCCAUGCCGCGUGCAGGAUGACGGCUCUAUGAGUUGUAAACUGCUUUUGUACGAGGGUAAACGCAGAUACGUGUAUCUGUCUGAAAGUAUCGUACGAAUAAGGAUCGGCUAACUCCGUGCCAGCAGCCGCGGUAAUACGGAGGAUUCAAGCGUUAUCCGGAUUUAUUGGGUUUAAAGGGUGCGUAGGCGGUUUGAUAAGUUAGAGGUGAAAUUUCGGGGCUCAACCCUGAACGUGCCUCUAAUACUGUUGAGCUAGAGAGUAGUUGCGGUAGGCGGAAUGUAUGGUGUAGCGGUGAAAUGCUUAGAGAUCAUACAGAACACCGAUUGCGAAGGCAGCUUACCAAACUAUAUCUGACGUUGAGGCACGAAAGCGUGGGGAGCAAACAGGAUUAGAUACCCUGGUAGUCCACGCAGUAAACGAUGAUAACUCGUUGUCGGCGAUACACAGUCGGUGACUAAGCGAAAGCGAUAAGUUAUCCACCUGGGGAGUACGUUCGCAAGA
rnacentral:rRNA from 1 species